UAACAGGAAACAGCUUGCUGUUUCGCUGACGAGUGGCGGACGGGUGAGUAAUGUCUGGGAAACUGCCUGAUGGAGGGGGAUAACUACUGGAAACGGUAGCUAAUACCGCAUAACGUCGCGAGACCAAAGAGGGGGACCUUCGGGCCUCUUGCCAUCAGAUGUGCCCAGAUGGGAUUAGCUAGUAGGUGGGGUAACGGCUCACCUAGGCGACGAUCCCUAGCUGGUCUGAGAGGAUGACCAGCCACACUGGAACUGAGACACGGUCCAGACUCCUACGGGAGGCAGCAGUGGGGAAUAUUGCACAAUGGGCGCAAGCCUGAUGCAGCCAUGCCGCGUGUAUGAAGAAGGCCUUCGGGUUGUAAAGUACUUUCAGCGGGGAGGAAGGGAGUAAAGUUAAUACCUUUGCUCAUUGACGUUACCCGCAGAAGAAGCACCGGCUAACUCCGUGCCAGCAGCCGCGGUAAUACGGAGGGUGCAAGCGUUAAUCGGAAUUACUGGGCGUAAAGCGCACGCAGGCGGUUUGUUAAGUCAGAUGUGAAAUCCCCGGGCUCAACCUGGGAACUGCAUCUGAUACUGGCAAGCUUGAGUCUCGUAGAGGGGGGUAGAAUUCCAGGUGUAGCGGUGAAAUGCGUAGAGAUCUGG
rnacentral:rRNA from 1 species